rnacentral:lncRNA from 1 species
AUGAUAUUCCCUUUCAAGACCUUGCCAGUGUGCUACAGGUAUGUGCAUUUAAAUUCUGUUCUGGAGCUUCUGAGGGAACUCAGAGAUGGAUGGAGGCCUAUUCAAACUGUCAUGGGCUCAAAAAUGACUUGGAAAGUGGCAAAACGUUCAUUUCUUAGGCUUCAAAAAGUAAACUUCCCAUAUUUUGGUCUCAGAUGACCUGCAAUCAAGACAUCCUCCUGAAACUGUGUACAGCUUCUCAGAGCCUCACUUCCAAAACAUGAGCACUGUUUGGGCUGAACGUGCAACAGUAACUAAGAUUUGUGAGUCCUUCUCUCUAUAGGUAGAUAGGACACAUCCUAAGGACCACACUUCUCAUCAGAAAAGACUAAUAGUCUUAAAUGACAGGGAGACUGCUCAUUCUUGGUAGCAGUACUGUACUGAGAAAACAGAGGCCUCAUUAAAGCCUCUUGGAAACACUGGACUGCAAAACUUUGCCAACACCGUGCUACCACCAUUUUCCCCUGUUCGUUUUGCUUCACCUUGCUAGACACUUUAUGUGCCUUGAAAAGUUUGAAAAAAUUAGGGUUGUUUGCCAGUGGGAGUUUGGAGUGGUGCCAGGAGGGUGUGUGCACAUUAAAUUAAACUUCAAGGGGACACUUCAUGAAGGCAGACUGAGACAGAUAUCUCAAAUGGCAAAUGCUGAAAAGCAUUAAGGUUGCCCCCCCAGCCACUGCACCACUUCAACUGCCCUAAUGAAUUCUGGUCUGAUUGCUAGCCCAAAUUUGUUUCUCCAUGAGAGCUGGAGAGGAGUCAGUAUCUUACCCUUCUUGGUAGGCACAAAAUGUCUUACAUGUUUUUUGGUGGCCCAGAAAGUUGGAUCUGCUGGACAAGAAGCAAUUUUGGGGCCAUGAAUCUAUACAAAAAUACUUUCAAAGAUUUAGAUCUGUAGAGUAGACUUGGAUGGUGAAAAGUCCAUGAAGAUUUUAAAGCAGCCAUAUUCAAAGUAAACGAAGGAGCACCACAGUCUAUGAAGCAGAGGGCUUAACUGAUGUGAGGGAGAGGAUUUAAGGCAAUGAAACUCUGGGAAACUGGUGAGGUUUCAGAAGGAGGGAUGUAGGUUGAACAAAAGCUACAAGGAGACACAUCUCUAACAGCAAGACAAUGCCGAAUAAUCUUCAGAUAGGAUGAUUUCUACACUUUUUAGUAUUAUCCCUGG